rnacentral:rRNA from 1 species
UGGGGAAUAUUGGACAAUGGGGGCAACCCUGAUCCAGCAAUGCCGCGUGUGUGAAGAAGGUCUUCGGAUUGUAAAGCACUUUCGACGGGGACGAUGAUGACGGUACCCGUAGAAGAAGCCCCGGCUAACUUCGUGCCAGCAGCCGCGGUAAUACGAAGGGGGCUAUCGUUGCUCGGAAUGACUGGGCGUAAAGGGCGUGUAGGCGGUUUACACAGUCAGAUGUGAAAUCCCCGGGCUUAACCUGGGAGCUGCAUUUGAUACGUGUAGACUAGAGUGUGAGAGAGGGUUGUGGAAUUCCCC